CACUCACAGGUGGGUUUUGCUGGCUGACCAAAGUGAACGGGAUGGAAUGUAGGGUGUCAGGAGCUCUUUCAGGUACUGUUUAAGGCUUUGAAGGUUAGCAGGCCAAUUUUAAAAAUAUGUUCGCCAUUUAAUUGGAAACCAAUGCAGGGAGUGGAGAACAGGUGUUAUGUGGCAGGAGCGAGUUUGAUCAGUUUUGUACAGUCUGAAGGCAAAGGAGUUCUUUUUCUGGGAGGCCCAAGUAAAGUACACUGCAGUAAUCUAGCCGAGAGGAAACAAAUGCAUGGAUUAAUGUUGGCAUAUCAUCUGGUGGAAUUAAGUGUUGUAUCCUGGCUAUGUUUUUCAGAUGAAAGCA